rnacentral:rRNA from 1 species
UACGAAGGGGGCUAGCGUUGCUCGGAAUCACUGGGCGUAAAGGGUGCGUAGGCGGGUCUUUUAAGUCAGGGGUGAAAUCCUGGAGCUCAACUCCAGAACUGCCUUUGAUACUGAAGAUCUUGAGUUCGGGAGAGGUGAGUGGAACUGCGAGUGUAGAGGUGAAAUUCGUAGAUAUUCGCAAGAACACCAGUGGCGAAGGCGGCUCACUGGCCCGAUACUGACGCUGAGGCACGAAAGCGGUGGGGAGCAAACAGG